rnacentral:lncRNA from 1 species
UCGGGAAUGCUCCGGCCCCCUGCCGCCGUCUCCCGGCCCGGUUCUCUUUCACUAAAAAUAGGCGAUUCUGGCAGCGCCCCUCCUAUGGGGCCUUGGGGGCAAUUGGGGUUUUGUCUUAGAGCCCGUGUGGACCCGGAUGGCGACGGCAGCCCGAGGAGAGGGAGGGCUGACUGUAUGGUUGGCUUUCCGACGACCAGACCCUGCAGGAUUCGGCCUUUCCCUUUGGAGUUUUCCUCCAUCCCCCUCCGUCCCUCCCAGGGGAUGCCCGCAGGCCACAGUGGUCACUGAAGGUCAACCCUGAGCCGAAGGAGAAGUGGCCUCGACCCUGGGGACCCCUUCAGGUGCAGCUUGAGGGGGAACGGCCGCCUUUCCCGUUGGGCACCCAGCUGUGGCUGUGCCCUGUCCUCGCCCAGCUCCCGGCAUAGGCAUGCGCUCUGGGCCGGGGCCGGGGCCCCCCGCCUCCCCGGGAGGAAUCGCUGGGUUGACUCUGGGUCAGCAAAGGGAGCCCGGCCCUUUCUAGCGGGGGGACGUCCUGCAGCCGCUGGAGGAGGCUGAGUCACGCUUUUCCCACCAGAAGUCUACCUGUGCCUGCGCCCGCCGGACCUGCCGGCCUCUUCCUUCUCAUCCAGGGGGCCUCUUCUCCAGCCUCACGGAGGUGGGAAGCUUGCUGGAGGCCCCUACCUGCCUUUUGGGGAAGACCCCGAGGCUGGCCCACGCCCUGCUGGCAGGACCCUUCCUGACUGGGUCCACCGUUCUUCUGGGUCUCACCACUUCUCCCAGCCCCUGGGCUGCUUCCUCUCUCCCGUGUCUGGGACCCCAGAGGCACCACUUCCAUUCCAUACAAGGUAAGAGUCCCAAGGAGAGGCCGGGCACGGUGGCUCACGCCUGUAAUCCCAGCACUUUGGGAGGCCGAGGCGGGCGGAUCACGAGGUCAGGAGUUCCAGACCAUCCUGGCUAACACGGUGAAACCCGUCUCUACUAAAAAUACAAAAAAUUAGCUGGGCCUGGUGGCACGUGCCUGUAGUCCCAGCUACUCGGGAGGCUGAGGCAGGAGAAUUGCUUGAACCGGGGAGGUGGAGGUUGUAGUGAGCAGAGAUCAUGCCACUGCACUGCAGCCUGGGUGAUAAGAGUGAGACUCCAUCUCAACAACAACAAAAAAAGUCUGAUCUCAGCACUGUCCUGCCUAGACUGCUUCUUUUUUUAGGACAAGUUUUUAUUGCUACCUGCUAAAAACGCACUUAUUGUCACGGUGCAGGCUAGGUUGGAGGAGUAAAACUAGAGACAAGAAGAGUUAAGAAGCCACUGCAGUAUUCAAGACAAAUGAGUCAAGCCAAAGGCUGAGAUGCUGUACAGGAAGGUCUCUAGGGGGACCCUAAAUUUAGCUGGGGGUGGUGGUGCAAGAUUCCUACGAAGUGGCACUAAAGGAGGGACUGAGUACUUACUAAAGACCUUAUGACUAAGAGGUCUCUCUCAUCCCUACACUACUUCCUUCACUCCAGUGUCUAGAAUUGGCCUCUGUAUAUAGGAGCUCUUUGGUUGAGCAUGGUUCACACCUGUAAUCCCAGCAGUUUGGGAGGCUGAGGUGGGAGGAUCACUUGAACUCAGGUGUUCAAGACCAACACAGUGAGACCCCAUCGCUAUAAAAUUUUUAAAAAUUUUAGCCAGGCAUGGUGGUGCACGCUUGUAGUCCCAGCUACUUAGGAGGCUGAUGCAGGAGGAUCGCUUGAGCCCAGAAGUUGGAGGCCGCAGUGAGCUAUGAUCACAUCACUACACUCCAGCCUGGGUGACAGGGUAAGAUCCUGUCUCAAAAAGAAAAAAAAAAAAUUAAGCACAAAAAGUUUGGAGACCAGGAAACAGGAGUACAAGUAUAGGUGCUGUCCCACUCUUAGUGAGGUCGGCUGUGAAAUUAAAUCAGUUCCUGGAACAAAUCUUACAAAGAGAUCAGAGAUCACUUGCAGUUUUUUUUUUUUUUUUUUUUUGAGACAGCGUCUCACUCUGUCACCCAGGCUGGAGUGCAGUGGUGCCAUUUUGGCUCACAGCACCCUUCGCCUCCUGGGUUCAGACAAUUCUCCCACCUCAGUCUCCCGAGUAGCUGGGACUACAUGCCUGGCUAAUUUUUGUCUUUUUUGGUAGAGACAGGGUGUCACCAUGUUGGCCAGCCUGGUCAUUAACUUUUUAAAAAAAUGUUUAUUUUCCUGAUAAAGAUUCAGCAUAAAUUUUAGGCAGAAGUCUGACGUCUAGCAGUCCCCCAGAAAGCAUUCUGUUGUCUGUUGGGGCUUCCUUGGGAGAUGGACUGUGGGCUAGGCCUGGGUGCUUUGGCAGAUACAGAGUCAGAGGCUGUGGAAAGGGGAUGGUCCAGACAGGACUAUAAUAAAUGCAGGGAUGGCCGGGCGCGGUGGUUCAUGCCUGUAAUUCCAGCACUUUGGGAGGCCAAGGCAGGUGGGUCACUUGAGGUCAGGAGUUCAAGACCAGCCUGACCAGCAUGGCAAAACCCUGUCUCUCCUAAAAAUACAAAAAUUAGCUGGGCGUGGUGGUGCAUGCUUGUAAUCCCAGCUACUUGGGAGGCUGAGGCAGGAGAAUCACUUGAACCCAGGAGGCAGAGGUUGCAGUGAGCCGAGAUUGCGUCACCGCACUCCAGCCUGGGCAACAGAGGGAGACUGCAUCUCAAAAAAAGAAAAAAAAAAAGAAAUGCAGGGAGAAGUCAAGCUUCUAGCCUCCUUGUCAAAGGAUUUAAAGUAGCAUUAGAUGGUAGAGAGAAACAAAAGAUGACCCAAGUUUCAUUUUCUCAGCUUUCUACUGGAGAGAGGACGUCAUAUAAACCAGAGUGCGAAAAAGGUCAGAAUGGAACCCUGGGGCUGGCUAGCUCAAAUUUGUAUGAGGGAUGAAGGGCAGUCCUCUCUGCUCACACUAAGGCUAAAUGGCCAGGGCCUGCGGAGAAAUCACAUCCUUUGCUGUAGGAGUAGAAGGGAUUCCAUGUGCCUAAGAAAUGUCAGAGAAAAAGGGGAUGUGAGCUCCAUGGAUCCUCUCCAGGCCACCUGGAUCCCUCCUUAUCUUUGUAGGACUCUGCUUACUGCCAGCUGGAAUUGUCAACCAAAGGGCUCUAAGUUGGGAUCUCGGUCCCUUAAGAUGAGGGGAGAUGGCUGGGCGUGGUGGCUCCUGCCUAUAAUCCCAGCACUUUGGGAGGCCGAGGUGGACAGAUCACCUGAGGUCAGGAGUUCGAGACCAGCCUGGCCAACAAUUAAAAUUACAUUUUAAUUUUUUUAAAUAUAAAAAAAUUAGCUGGGCGUGGUAGCACAUGCUUGUAAUCCCAGCUACCCUGGAGGCUGAGGCAGGAGAACUGCUUGAACCUGGGAGGUGGAGGUUGCAGUGAGCCGAGGUCGUGUCACUGCACUCCAGAGCCUGGGCGACAAGGGCAAAACUCAAAAAAAAAAAGAAAAAAGAUGAGACGAGAAAGCUAGGAAGGCCUAAGCACAAACCUCAGCAGGGGGAAUCGCUAUAGAGGAUAAGCCUCCUUGUUCUUAAAGGCUAUUUUUAUUUCAGUUGGCUGUUUGGAGCUGUGUAAAAAAAAUGGAAAACAACAAUAACAACAACAAACAAACAAAAAAACCCUCCAAAGGGCUAUUUCUAAUUCAAAUCCCCGAGGUGUCUAUCUUUCCCCUUCCUUUGGGGGAGGGAGGAGGUGAGACAAGUAAUAACUUAGAGGAACGUUUCCUUCCAUCUUUGCAGGUCUCCUGAUAGCAGGAACCUUGCUGCAUCUCCUACACUUCUCAAGAGCAGAAAUGAGCUCACUGCCCCACACCCAGGAUUCUCAUACCACACUUGAGGACUCUCUGGUUUGGACAGACUAUGAUUAAAUUUAUCACAACUGUUAGUUCUCAUGGUCUGGGAGGCCAUCUCCUCUCCUCAGACCCUGUUACUCCUAGAUCUGUCCUCUCAUUAACUCUGUCAGCACAGGCUGCUCUCUCUUCCAGGACUCCAAGAGCUCCUCAUCACCCUCAUCUGCUGUAACACGGAAAGAACCCACUUACCUGCUUCAAUACUAGGUUUUGCCCCCCAUCCCAUUUUCAAAAAGUCAGGCACAAAGUAAAACCCUAUAUUUAUUAUCCCUCCUAUUUUGAGGCUCCAGCUCUAGCCCCAGACCUUUUUUGAUAGGAGAAGGUAAUACAGUUUAUUUUCUAACUUGUUUCCCCUAGUUUUCUCCUGUCUCGUCACCCGUGUGAUCCACGUGUAUCAGAAGUGAUAGGUGGCUCAAGAUCAUUUUGGUCAGAUUUUAAAAAUAAAAUAUUUUCUCCUUUUAUGUCUAAAAAUAUUACCUUACAGCCUACCGCUCCCAGCUGGAAAAAGAAAAUUGUUUCAUUUCUGUUUUUAUCCUCCCCCUUGGACUUGCUACUCCCAAGGGCCCCAGGAAGAACUAGACUUUGGUUGUACAGAACUGUGCUGUUAAAUAGGAUUUGAUAGCCACUAGCUACAUGUGGCUAAUUAAAAUUAAAUUAAAUACUAUCUUAAAAAUUGAGUUCAUGAGGUGCACUAGCCACAUUUCAAGAGCUCAAGUCAUAUGUAGCUAGUAGUAUCUACUGUAUUAGACAGCAGAUACAGAAUACUUCCAUUGUUACAUGAAGUUCUAUUAGCUUGAAUGUGGAGGACUAGCGUCUUUAGCUUCCUUUCUUAUAACCCCAUUUUACCAGCCAGCAAAUAUUUGCAAUAACUUCACUGUUACAGGAUAAUUUUCAGAGGAGUUAGGAAUUGGGGGUAGGAAGCAGCAUAGAAUCUACAAGUCUUAUAGGAGUUUCAGGAGGCAUGGCAUAGAGGCCAGGGGUUGAUGGUCAAUGGCAAGAGCCUUAGGUUUUAAGAAAGUACUUUAGGGACUGAUGUUAUAUUACCAGGGCCACCUCCACUGUGGACUCAGUGGUUCUGCGUAAUACCUGAAAACAAAAAAUGACAUCCCUACUGCUCUGCUGGAACUGAGUAGCUGAAGUGAUUGUUAUUACUCAAAAUCUCCAGAGCUUGAUUUUGUAAACUGUUUAUCUGUCACGGUUCUUGUUCUCCCAAAUCCAAGUGACAUAAGCAGCGGUAAUGUUUAGAAAAGGUUUGUUGACUUUGCUACCCCACUCCAAGAGCAGGGAGUAGUGGGUGUCAUAUCCACUAAUCCACUGAUACUCAGGGUACUUUUUUUUUUUUUUUUUGAGAUGGAGUUUCAUUCUUGUUGCCCAGGCUGGAGUGCAAUGGUGCGAUCUCGGCUCACUGCAACCUCCUCCUCCCAGGUUCAAGUGAUUCUCCUGCCUCAGCCUCCUGAGUAGCUGGGAUGACAGGCAUGCGCCACCAUGCCUGGCUAAUUUUGUAUUUUUAGCAGAGACAGGGUUUCUCCAUGUUGGUCAGGCUGGUCUGGAACUCCCGACCUCAGGUGAUCUGCCUACCUCGGCCUCCCAAAGUGCUGGGAUUACAGGCAUGAGCCACCGUGCCUGGCCCUCAGGGUACUUUUAAUAAAGUGCUAGCUAGGCAAGCCUAUUCUUCCUCUCAAGAGUAGGUGUUCCACUUUUGAACACCUAUGCCAGGCACCGGCUAUAGUGCCUACAAGAGGAUGAUAUGUGGACAUGACCACUUUCCCUGACUACAUCAGUGGUUCUCAACUGGGGAUGAUUUUGCAAUGUCUGCUUAUGGGACAUUUGGUAAUGUCUAGAGACAUUUGUGGUUGUCACAACUAGUGGAGGGGUACUACCUGCAUGUAGUGGGUAGAGUCCAGAGAUGCUACUAAGUAUCCUAUAAUGCAUAGGACAGCUGCCCACAACAAAGAAUUAUCUCACUCAAAAUGUCAAUAGGGUCGAGGUUGAGAAAUCCUGGUCUAGGCUGGGUGUGGUGGCUCAUGACUGUAAUCCCAGCAUUUUGGGAGGCCAAGGCAGGAGGAUCACUUGAGCCCACCAGGAGUUCAAGACCAGCCUGGGCAAUGUAGGGAGAUCUCCACAAAAAAUAAAAAUAAAUUAGCUGCACUAUAGUCCUUGUUACACAGAAGGCUGACGUGGGAGCAUCACUUGAACGUAGGAAGUGAGUGAGCUGUGAUUGCACUACUGCACUCCAGUCUGGGCAACAGAGUGAGACCCUGGCUCAAACAAAACAAAAACAAAAGCAUUGAAAGAAAGAAAGAGGCCGGGCGCGGUGGCUCACGCCUGUAAUCCCAGCACU